rnacentral:rRNA from 1 species
GAUGAACGCUGGCGGCGUGCCUAAUACAUGCAAGUCGAGCGAACGGACGAGACGCUUGCUUCUCUGAUGUUAGCGGCGGACGGGUGAGUAACACGUGGAUAACCUACCUAUAAGACUGGGAUAACUUCGGGAAACCGGAGCUAAUACCGGAUAAUAUUUUGAACCGCAUGGUUCAAAAGUGAAAGACGGUCUUGCUGUCACUUCUAGAUGGAUCCGCGCUGCAUUAGCUAGUUGGUAAGGUAACGGCUUACCAAGGCAACGAUGCAUAGCCGACCUGAGAGGGUGAUCGGCCACACUGGAACUGAGACACGGUCCAGACUCCUACGGGAGGCAGCAGUAGGGUAUCUUCCGCAAUGGGCGAAAGCCUGACGGAGCAACGCCGCGUGAGUUAUGAAGGUCUUCGGAUCGUAAAACUCUGUUAUGAGGGAAGAACAUAUGUGUAAGUAACUGUGCACAUCUUGACGGUACCGAAUCAGAAAGCCACGGCUAACUACGUG